AUGGAUGCCCAGAGAGCCCUCACCUCGCUUCUGGGCCGGCUCACCACUGUCCUUGUCAACGAGGCACAGCUGCUUGGAGGCAUUCGGGGUGAUGUUGAGUUCAUCAAGGACGAGAUGGAGAGCAUGAAUGGUCUGCUCCUCCACCUCGCCGAGGCCAACCAUCACGACCACCAGGUGCGGGCGUGGAUGAAGCAAGUCAUUGGCCUGACCCGCGACUGCGACGGAAACGUCGAGCUCUACAUCCAGUAUGUUGCAGGUUCUGGCCACCAGACCACAGGCCUACUGGGCUACCUUCGGCGGAUCAUCCGAUUUGUGUGGACCAUCCCAGCUCGGCGCCGAGUUGCGACGCGGAUUCGGCAGCUCAAAGUCCGAGCGCGCGAUGUGGGUGACACGCGGAUGAGGUAUGGAGUCAUCGUGCCAUCUGCUGCUGACCAAGACGAUGCAAUAUUCAAUGCAAACUUCUUGGAUCCAUUGGUGGCAGGCGAAGAGGAAGAUGUUCAUAGACGCGCUCUAUCUGCAACAGACGUUGAACCGCCAGAUGAUGUGAAUAUUCUUGUAAAAGAAAGCAUCGAUCAGAUGAUCGAGUGGUUGAAGCCUUGA
rnacentral:rRNA from 1 species